rnacentral:rRNA from 1 species
CUCUUGNNUCCNCNGAAUUCGGCAGAGAUGCCUUAGUGCCUUCGGGAACUGUGAGACAGGUGCUGCAUGGCUGUCGUCAGCUCGUGUUGUGAAAUGUUGGGUUAAGUCCCGCAACGAGCGCAACCCUUAUCCUUUGUUGCCAGCACGUAAUGGUGGGAACUCAAAGGAGACUGCCGGUGAUAAACCGGAGGAAGGUGGGGAUGACGUCAAGUCAUCAUGGCCCUUACGAGUAGGGCUACACACGUGCUACAAUGGCGUAUACAAAGAGAAGCGAACUCGCGAGAGCCAGCGGACCUCAUAAAGUACGUCGUAGUCCGGAUCGGAGUCUGCAACUCGACUCCGUGAAGUCGGAAUCGCUAGUAAUCGUAGAUCAGAAUGCUACGGUGAAUACGUUCCCGGGA